GACGAACCGUGCGAACGUUAUUCGGAAUCACUGGGCUUAAAGGGCGCGUAGGCGGGCGGCCAAGUCAGAGGUGAAAGCCCCCAGCUCAACUGGGGAAGUGCCUUUGAUACUGGUCGUCUCGAGGGAGAUAGGGGCGUGCGGAACUUCCGGUGGAGCGGUGAAAUGCGUAGAUAUCGGAAGGAACACCGGUGGCGAAAGCGGCGCACUGGAUCUCUUCUGACGCUGAGGCGCGAAAGCCAGGGGAGCGAACGGG
rnacentral:rRNA from 1 species